rnacentral:lncRNA from 10 species
AAAAAUUGAACUCUGGACUAAAAAGUGAAGCUUGAAUAAUUUUAAACUAUAGUAGGCUUUAUGAAGAUUAUAUAUAUAUAUAUAUACACACACACAUGUAUGUGUGUGUGUGUGUGUGUAUGUGUGUAUGUAUAUAUGAACCACUACAUAAUGAUAUGAUUUAAGGAACACAUAGCUGAUAUUUUGUGACUUUUUUCCCACGUGGAAUCAAGAGACCCAUGGUACUAUUCUUUGUGUUUGUUUUAUAGAGCCAUUUCCUGCUUUUAAGUCUUGGCAGGAGGACUCUGAGUCUGGAGAAGCUCAGCUGUCUCCACAAGCUGGAAGAAUGAAUCAUCACCCCUUGGAAGAGGACUGUCCUCCAGUAUUAUCACACCGCAGUUUAGAUUUUGGUCAAAGCCAGCGUUUCCUACAUGAUCCAGAAAAGUUGGAUUCCUCAUCUAAAGCACUGUCUUUUACUAGAAUUCGAAGAUCAUCCUUUAGUUCAAAAGAUGAAAAGAGAGAGGACAGAACACCUUAUCAGCUGGUCAAGAAACUUCAGAAGAAAAUCAGACAAUUUGAGGAACAGUUUGAAAGGGAAAG